rnacentral:rRNA from 1 species
UACGAAGGGUGCAAGCGUUAGUCGGAAUUACUGGGCGUAAAGCGUGCGUAGGUGGUUUCUUAAGUCCGUUGUGAAAGCCCUGGGCUCAACCUGGGAACUGCAGUGGAUACUGAGAGGCUAGAGUGUGUCAGAGGAUGGUGGAAUUCCCGGUGUAGCGGUGAAAUGCGUAGAGAUCGGGAGGAACAUCAGUGGCGAAGGCGGCCAUCUGGGACAACACUGACGCUGAGGCACGAAAGCGUGGGGAGCAAACAGG